rnacentral:rRNA from 1 species
GAAAGUAAUUAAGGGCGCAUGGCGGAUGCCUUGGCUCAUGGAGGCGAUGAAGGACGUGAUAAGCUGCGAUAAGCCGCGGUAAGGUGCAAAUGACCUUUGACCCGCGGAUUUCCGAAUGGGACAACCCACCCGCGCAAUACGCGGGUAUCACCGCACAGUCGGUGAGGCGAACCGGGGGAACUGAAACAUCUUAGUACCCCGAGGAAGAGAAAAUAAGUUAAUGAUUCCCCCAGUAGUGGCGAGCGAACGGGGAAGAGCCCAAACCGGCGUUGUGGCAACGCAUCGCCGGGGUUGUAGGACCGCGCCGUUGUACCUUGCGUGUGAGGAGAACUCUCCUGGAAAGAGAGGCCGUAGCGGGUGAUAGCCCCUUAUCCGAAGCACAAUGGGACAUAGCGGUAUCCUGAGUAACGCGGGACACGAGAAAUCCUGCGCGAACCGGCCGGGACCAUCCGGUAAGGCUAAAUACUCCCAUGAGACCGAUAGCGAACCAGUACCGUGAGGGAAAGGUGAAAAGCACUUCGACAAGAAGAGUGAAAUAGUUCCUGAAACCAUGCGCCUACAAGCGGUCGGAGCUGCUUUUGCAGUGACGGCGUGCCUUUUGCAUAAUGAACCUACGAGUUACCGUAUCUGGCAAGGAUAAGCGGCACGAGCCGCGCAUCCGCAGUGAAAGCGAGCCUGAAUAGGGCGUUUUAGUCAGGUGUGGUAGACGCGAAACCAAGUGAUCUACACAUGUCCAGGAUGAAGUCCCGGUAACACGGGAUGGAGGUCCGAACGGAUAAGCGUUGAAAAGCUUCCCGAUGAGGUGUGUGUAGGAGUGAAAGGCCAAUCAAACUUGGAGAUAGCUCGUACUCCCCGAAAGGCAUUUAGGUGCCGCGUGCAGUGUUCUCCCCAAGAGGUAGAGCGACCGAUAGGACGCGAGGGCUUCACCGCCUAUCAAGUCCUGACGAACUCCGAAUGCUUAGGGGACAGAAGCUGCGCAGUAAGGGGACGGGUGCUAAGGUCCGUUCCCGAGAGGAGAAGAAUCCAGACCGCCGUCUAAGGUCCCGGAGUUCUGCCUGAGUUAGUCUAACGAAGUCUGGUCCCCGCGACAGCCAGGAUGUUGGCUUGGAAGCAGCCAUUCAUUUAAAGAGUGCGUAACAGCUCACUGGUCGAGGGUCCGGGCGUGGAUAAUAAUCGGGUAUAAGGCAGACACCGAAGACGCGGGAUAGCAUUAAAAAAAGUAUCGGUAGGGGAGCAUUCCAUCGGCGUUGAAUGCGGUGAGGCGAUCACCGCUGGAGCCUAUGGAAAAGCAAAUGUAGGUAUAAGUAACGAUAAGGAGGGUAAGAUUCCCUCCCGCCGUAAGACUAAGGUUUCCCGGGCAAUGCCAAUCAUCCCGGGGUCAGUCGGGUCCUAAGGCUCAGCCGAACGGCGAGGCCGAUGGCAGAAAGGGUUAAUAUUCCCUUACUGCCGCACGGAGCGACGCGGAGACGGAGGCGUGACACCACCGCGGAGAUACGGAAUUCUCCGUUGAAGAGCGUAGACGUUGAGGGCGGCAGGCAAAUCCACCGCCCGAGUCGAACCUCGAAAGUAUGCCUUUCCCUUCGGGGCGAGGCAAUAGCGUGGGUAACCAUACUCCCGAGAAAAUCCGCUAAGCUCAAUCCGUGCGGCACCCGUACCGCAAACGGACACACGUAGUCGGGUAGAACAUACUGAGGCGUUGAGAGAUUCAUGGUUAAGGAACUAGGCAAACUGACCCCGUAACUUCGGGAUAAGGGGUCCUCGUCGCAAGGCGAGGCGCAGAGAAUAGGUCCAGGCAACUGUUUAACAAAAACACAGGGCUGUGCCAACUCGAAAGAUGACGUAUACAGCCUGACACCUGCCCGGUGCCGGAAGGUUAAGAGGAGAGCUCAGAGCUUCUGCUCGAAGGUUUGAAUUGAAGCCCCGGUAAACGGCGGCCGUAACUAUAACGGUCCUAAGGUAGCGAAAUUCCUUGUCGGGUAAGUUCCGACCUGCACGAAUGGUGUAAUGAUCCGGACGCUGUCUCAACCAUGAUCUCAGUGAAAUUGUAGUAUCGGUGAAGAUGCCGAUUACCCGCGAUGGGACGAAAAGACCCCGUGAACCUUUACUGCAGCUUAGCAUUGACCUUGGUCAUCCGAUGUGUAGGAUAGGCCGGAGGCUUCGAAGCGGGGGCGCCAGCCCUUGUGGAGCCACCCUUGAAAUACGGCCCUUUGGCUGUCCGAGGUCUAACCCGCUCGUUGCGGGGACACUGCUUGGUGGGCAGUUUGACUGGGGUGGUCGCCUCCAAAAGCGUAACGGAGGCUUCCAAAGGUACCCUCAGGCCGAUUGGUAACCGGCCCAUUAGAGUGCAAUGGCAUAAGGGUGCUUGACUGGGAGGCAGACAUGCCGAGCAGGCAGGAAACUGGGGCAUAGUGAUCCGGUGCAAGUGUAUGGAAACUGCAUCGCUCAAAGGAUAAAAGGUACUCCGGGGAUAACAGGCUGAUCCCCCCCAAGAGCUCAUAUCGACGGGGUGGUUUGGCACCUCGAUGUCGGCUCGUCACAUCCUGGGGCUGGAGAAGGUCCCAAGGGUUGGGCUGUUCGCCCAUUAAAGUGGCACGCGAGCUGGGUUCAGAACGUCGUGAGACAGUUCGGUCUCUAUCUAUCGUGGGCGUUGGAGUUUUGCGUGGCCCUGUCACUAGUACGAGAGGACCGUGAUGGACAGACCUCCGGUUUACCGGUUGUGCCGCCAGGUGCACCGCCGGGUAUCUGAGUCUGGAUCGGAUAAGCGCUGAAAGCAUCUAAGUGCGAAGCCGGCCGCAAGAUUAGAACUCCUCAUGAGGGUCGUCCCAGACGAGGACGUCGAUAGGGCGCAGGUGUAAAGGCGGCGACGCCAAAGCCGAGCGCUACUAAUUGCCCGAAACUUUCUUACC